rnacentral:rRNA from 1 species
GACGAACGCUGGCGGCGUGCUUAACACAUGCAAGUCGAACGGAAAGGCCCUGCUUUUGUGGGGUGCUCGAGUGGCGAACGGGUGAGUAACACGUGAGUAACCUGCCCUUGACUUUGGGAUAACUUCAGGAAACUGGGGCUAAUACCGGAUAGGAGCUCCUGCUGCAUGGUGGGGGUUGGAAAGUUUCGGCGGUUGGGGAUGGACUCGCGGCUUAUCAGCUUGUUGGUGGGGUAGUGGCUUACCAAGGCUUUGACGGGUAGCCGGCCUGAGAGGGUGACCGGCCACAUUGGGACUGAGAUACGGCCCAGACUCCUACGGGAGGCAGCAGUGGGGAAUAUUGCACAAUGGGCGGAAGCCUGAUGCAGCAACGCCGCGUGCGGGAUGACGGCCUUCGGGUUGUAAACCGCUUUCGCCUGUGACGAAGCGUGAGUGACGGUAAUGGGUAAAGAAGCACCGGCUAACUACGUGCCAGCAGCCGCGGUGAUACGUAGGGUGCGAGCGUUGUCCGGAUUUAUUGGGCGUAAAAGGGCUCGUAGGUGGUUGAUCGCGUCGGAAGUGUAAUCUUGGGGCUUAACCCUGAGCGUGCUUUCGAUACGGGUUGACUUGAGGAAGGUAGGGGAGAAUGGAAUUCCUGGUGGAGCGGUGGAAUGCGCAGAUAUCAGGAGGAACACCAGUGGCGAAGGCGGUUCUCUGGGCCUUUCCUGACGCUGAGGAGCGAAAGCGUGGGGAGCGAACAGGCUUAGAUACCCUGGUAGUCCACGCUGUAAACGGUGGGUACUAGGCGUGGGGUCCAUUCCACGGGUUCCGUGCCGUAGCUAACGCUUUAAGUACCCCGCCUGGGGAGUACGGCCGCAAGGCUAAAACUCAAAGGAAUUGACGGGGCCCCGCACAAGCGGCGGAGCAUGCGGAUUAAUUCGAUGCAACGCGUAGAACCUUACCUGGGUUUGACAUGGAUCGGGAGUGCUCAGAGAUGGGUGUGCCUCUUUUGGGGUCGGUUCACAGGUGGUGCAUGGCUGUCGUCAGCUCGUGUCGUGAGAUGUUGGGUUAAGUCCCGCAACGAGCGCAACCCUUGUUCACUGUUGCCAGCACGUUAUGGUGGGGACUCAGUGGAGACCGCCGGGGUCAACUCGGAGGAAGGUGGGGAUGACGUCAAGUCAUCAUGCCCCUUAUGUCCAGGGCUUCACGCAUGCUACAAUGGCUGGUACAGAGAGUGGCGAGCCUGUGAGGGUGAGCGAAUCUCGGAAAGCCGGUCUCAGUUCGGAUUGGGGUCUGCAACUCGACCUCAUGAAGUCGGAGUCGCUAGUAAUCGCAGAUCAGCAACGCUGCGGUGAAUACGUUCCCGGG